GUCAAAUCCUGGAGCUUAACUUCAGGACUGCUGUUGAUACUGUAAAACUUGAGGCUGGAAGAGGCAAGCGGAACUAUCGGUGUAGUCGUAAUAAGCGCUGAUAUCGAUAGGAACACCAAAGGCGAAGGCAGCUUGCUAGUACGUGCCUGACACUCAUGGACGAAAGCGUGGGUAGCGAAUCGGAUUAGAUACCCGAGUAGUCCACGCCCUAAACGAUGUGCACUAGGUAUUGGGAGUAUCGACCCUCUCAGUGCCGUUGAACAAAGCUAACGCGUUAAGUGCACCGCCUGGGGAGUACGAUCGCAAGAUUAAAACUCAAAGGAAUAGACGGGGACCCGCACAAGCGGUGGAUCAUGUGGUUUAAUUCGAUGAUACGCGGCGAACCUCACCAAGACUUGACAUAUAGCUGCAAGCUCCUAGAAAUAGGAGCCGCCUUCGAGGGUGCUAUACAGGUGCUGCAUGGUUGCCGUCANCUCGUGCCGUGAGGUGUACCCUAAAGGGGGGAACGA
rnacentral:rRNA from 1 species